UGGAAGACUGGGCAUUUUGCAGAGUUCACACAAACACAUCUAACUUGGAUCAAUUUCCAAACUACCCAGAAUUCUGGGGAGGGGGGAUGUGCAUCAAAUGUGCUGUAAAUGUGCAGCGCGAGCACAGCUUAAGUAUACAAAAAAAUCCCUGAAGGACAGAAUAAAGUAAGGCUUAUGAAGGGUGUGGUUUGAGGUGAGGGUGUGUGGCUGAGGCCAGGAAGUCUUCUGGGGGCCAGAGAGGCCUGGGGCGGCCUGAGGUUCAACUUUGACCAUAGGCAGUGUUGUCAAAAGUAUAAUGGCUCAAGCUGCCUUGGAAAUAAUUGCUUCUGUUCAUCCAGGUAUUUGUAUGUAUUGCUAUUUAUCUUUUACUGCGGUAUGUUACUGAAUGGAUGAGUGCUUUCAGUCAAUUGUUAUUUUAGCUUUUCGGUACGCUUUGUUACCAUUUAUGCUUUAAUAAUUGUAUUGCUCUGAGACAUUUUUGUACUAAGUGAUGAAUAAAUGCAAAUAACAGCAAUAACAACAACAGUAAUAUUUUAUUCCUUCCAGUGUUUGUCUGCUGCUUGUGAUAAGGUAAAGGAUUCUGCAUAUGCUCACAGCUACUCUUCUUUUUAAUACUGUUACCCAUUUCCGGAGCUGAUCCCAAGCAUUUAAAUGUGUUCUAGAGCUGUGCUUUGGGAAAUCCUAGUCAAAAUAAAGCCUUUCAGAGACGUGGGGCAGGGAGGGGAGGAACAGGAUGAGGAAACAGGUGUAUACAAAGAGGCAAAGGGGCAAGGAAAGGAGAAAAGUGAAAAAUGAAGGGGGAAGGGAAACAAAAUGAUUUAGGGUGUGGGGUAGAAAUAGUGAGUGAGAAACAGGAAAAAGAGGCCAAGAAGGAAAAGCAAGGUCUGGGUCAAAAAAGUAUACUUAAAUCAACUUUUUUUGGAAAGGUCAGAAAAGAGAGAGAAUUGUGUGGAAAUUAGGCACAACAGGAUUAGAAAAGAAUGGAAAUGCUCAGAUAACUUAAUGGGAGAAAAGGGGAGAAUGAAUGACUGUGAGGUACUGAGAUAGUUUUUAAAAUGCAAAGGAGGCGAGGAAGAAAGGAAAGAGAGAAACAUUUGGCACACCGAAGGAUUUGGCUAAGAAGGCAUUGACUGACAUUUGUUUAGCAAACCCCGCUUUAAACACCACCACCACCCAAAUUACCAUCAUGGGGUAGAGUGCAGGGGCAAAUACAAGAGAGCUAUCUCCCUAUCUAUAAAAUAAAAUGUUACAGGGAUUGGCGGAGGUUGAAAGUGAAGGCAGGAAAAUGACACUCUUAAACCUAAAGCAAAAACAAAAGGUAAUUUGUACGCCCUGCUAUAAAUGCCCAGCCCACCAUUUGUCUGCACAAGGCAGACCUAUUGCUGAGGGUUGCUUCAGAUCCAGUCCUCGCCCGGCAGCGGCUGCUGAAAGAUGCCAGCUUGGCUGAGAAGAAAAGAACAAGGGACUUUGGGGGGGGGAGGAGAAGGAGAAGCCAAGCAGCCACCCCCCUGUACCACAUUAGUUAGCUCAGCUCUGCCUCAGCUCAGCCCAAGGAUGGAAACAGAAUAUUAUUGUAAGCCAACCUGUGCAGUGUCAUGGUUAGUGUCAGACAAGGACUGGGGAGACCAGGGUUCAAAUCCCCAUCAAAUAACUGGGCAUAGCUGUCAACCUUCCCUUUUUUUUUUGCGGGAAAUUCCCUUAUUCCAGCGCCGUUUCCCGCUGCUUCCUUCUACUAUCCUGGAUUGUUAGAUAUCCCGUAGACUGUCCCCGGGACAGGUGAGGCUGCUGAUCCUUAUUUUCAAAUCUGAAAGUUGACAGCUAUGUAACUGGGUGACUUUGAGCUAGAGUAGUAGUGAGAAUAAUAUAGGGAGGAGGAGAGACAGGCAAUGUAACCGAAGGAGUUGGCUGAGCUGCACUGGAAUGAUGCAUAAGGAAGCUGGAACUAUUUGUCCCUCUAGCUUUCUUUGGUCUGGAGCUAAAAAUAUUACCUGUUACAUGUUCUGUGCCUUUAGCUAUAUCUUGGAAUGCAGCAAAUAAAAAAGUACAGUAUUUCCCCUUCGCCAUACAGUCUACAGUUCAGCCACUAAUAUCUUGCUCCUUGGGCAGAGGCAUCUUGCAGUUGCUAGCAUCCUACAGGAAGGGCUUCUUAUGUGGUGGUGCAACCUUUCUGGAUCGCAUCCAUCUCCUGGAACCUUCUUGUUUAGGGAUGCAGGCUGAGCUCUGGGGAUGCCUCUGAGCGCGACACCGAGAUGCAGACCUCAUAGAUGCGGAAGGUGGCAAAGGCGCCAGCCACAAUGCAGCAAAUGCCCACGAUGUACCACCAGUUGAAGGCACCAAAGGAAACCCCAUUUAAAAUGCAGUAGAUCCCAAAAGAGAUGGCAGCAAUGACAGAGAUUAUCUGUAGGCAAACAGGUGGGUCACUUCCUCUCUCUUGCAUAGCCAGGUCAGCAAGUUAAGUCUUUUCCAAGCUAAAAUGAUCGAUGAUUCUGGGUUCUGUAUAGUUUUUUUAAAAAAAGUUGCUGAGAGAAGUGAGGUCUGUCUACUGUGGUGUGCUCAUGGUGUGCGCAAUAUAUAUUAAUACUUGGCUAGAAGGAUUAAGGUUCUGGAGGCAUCUUAUCCUAAUUUCCAAUUAUGUUAAGUGGUCCACAAUCCAUCUGAUUCCAUUAAGCAUCUUAGAAUGCACAAUACCUUUAUUUAUUUCGUGGGAAUAAGAUGCACAUAAAAACGUGGGUAGCAGAGGGUGGAGAAAAUCAGCAAAACUGUUUGGUUGCUCCCAUCUUCGACACUGGAGGCUUCUCCUUGGGCAAAACAUCUGAGGAACUUCAGUGGUAGUUUAACUAUGAUAUUAGCAUCAUUUAAGUUAGGGAAGCCCAGACUUCCAUAACAGAAGUGCAAGCCAUGAUUAGCUUACCAUGCUGAUGCUGGUAAGAUGCUCCUAGAGGCUCCCAUUUUUAUUUUUGUAAGUGUUGGUGCUGACCUUUAAAGCCCUAAACGGCCCCGGUCCAGUAUAUCUGAAGGAACGUCUCCACCCCCAUCGUUCUACCCGGACACUGACGUCCAGCACUGAGGGCCUUCUGGCAGUUCCCUCACUGCGAGAAGCCAAGUUACUGGGAACCAGGCAGAGGGCCUUCUUGGUAGUGGCACCCGCCCUGUGGAACACCCUCCCAUCAGAUGUCAAGGAGAACAACAACUACCAGACUUUUAGAAGACAUCUGAAGGCAGCCCUCUUUAGGGAAGCUUUUAAUGUUUAAUGUAUUACAGUAUUUUAAUAUAUUUUUGGAAGCUGCCCAGAGUGGCUGGGGAAGCCCAGCCGGAUAGGUGGGGUAUAAAUAAUAAAUUAUUAUUAUUAUUAUUAUUAUUAUUAUUAUUAUUAUUACUUUCAUAUCCCAAGCCUUCAGGUGCUGGGUAUGGUUCCCUCCUCCCCCUUUCAUCCCCGCAACAACUCUGCGAGGCAAGCUGGGCUCAGACAGUGACUGGCUCAGUGAAGCUUCCUGGCUGAGUUUCUUGGGGAUUUGAACCUCGUCCAACACUAACCACAUUGGUUCUCCAACCAAUCUAUGCAAUAAUAUGCCUGUUCAGGUCAGAUGUCCUUCUAGGACAGAGAGAGAACAUGCAGCAGUAUCUUACAAUGGAGGUAACUUGUGGGUUGACCCUGAUUUUAGGUUCUGAAUGUGCAUUCUAGGGUAUGCUCUGUUCACACGGGGGCCAGAGAGACUGGUUGACGCUGGGUCAGUUGUUACUCAUCGCACAUGGAGUUAUAUAUCCAUAACUCCCUUGCUGCACAGUCCUGCUAGGGAACAUGAGUAAUGGCAGAUUAACUGCUUUGAAACUCCUUGUGCUCCAUUGCUGAUACUUUCUUCUUAUAAACUCCUGAGUUUCUUGGAACACAGUUUGAAAAGUACUGCAACAGAUGAGGAGGCUCAUCAGUUUGCUCACAGCAUGAAUGAAUCUAGCUAGCUGGGUUAGAUCCAGAUUUAAGUCAUAUGCAGAGUAAGCCCACUGGAACAAUGAGACUUAAGUUACUCAUAACUUAAGCCACAUUGGUUUUAAUUAGCCUACUUUAAAUACGACAUCUUGGAUCUAAACUGCUCUUUUUACUGCUGGGCUGUACAAGACAUAAAUCAAGGCAAGCAGAUUCCAAGAAAAAUGUCUGACUCCAAACCUUUUUCAACAUUUUUAAUUAAAGUAAAAAGGUAAAGGUAGCACUGACCAUUAGGUCCAGUCACGGACGACUCUGGGGUUGUGCACUCAUCUCGCUCUACGAUGCAGAUGCAGAACACGUGUGGGGUUGUGCUGCUUUUUGUGUAGUAUUUCAGUUGCUUAAAAGCAUUAAUUAUGAUUGAUGCAACUUUAUAUCGUUUUGUAAAACUCAUUUUAUUUCAUUGACAGCAUUGGUCUCAUCAUACAGUUGAACUCUUAAUUUAAUCACACACAUAACUAAAAUAUUCUGCAAAUGCAUUGACUUUGACACUGCUAAAGCCCACAGUGGUAGAAUUUGAUCGAUUGAUGGGGCAGAAAAAGAACGAUGUAAUCUAACCAAUUACUUGCUGAAAAACGUUAACCCUAAAAACACUACAAAACAAACCAUAGUCUUUGUCUAAAUUAGUGGAGGGGAAACUUCCACAUACCAUCACAGACCAGGUAAGACACAUUAACUGUGCUCCUUGGGAAACUGUUCCAACAUAAAACUAUACCCACUUCAAAGCAGGGACGCCUGAACAGUCAAAAAGAAGCAGCAUUAUCAGUUUCUAGUAUCUGUUUUUUGCUGGGUUCUCAAAACAGAGUUGAGAAUGCAUGACAGACGGAGUUUCUAUGCCUGUGUUUAAUAAACUGUUGAAAUCUCAGGCCAGCCAUGUUUUAUUCAAAACUUCAGAAGGAGAAAAUCAGUUCAUAGUGGCCACCAGAUGUUUUGGCCUACAACUCCCAUGAUUCCUGAUCACUGGCCAUGUUGCUAGGAGCGGUAGACCUAAACAUCUGGAGGGGACCAGUUUGGGGAAAGGCAGCUGCAAAGCAUAUGUACUCACCUUUCACUGUCUGUAAAAUAGAAUGCUCCCAAAAAUAUUUUAUCAUCAUCAGGGUGAGCUGUUUAAGAUCCAGACUUAGCAGCAUUGUUACCUUCUGUAGAUUACCGUAUUUUUUGCUCUAUAAGACUCACUUUUUCCCUCCUAAAAAGUAAGGGGAAAUGUGUGUGCGUCUUAUGGAGUGAAUGCAGGCUGCGCAGGCUGCUGAAUCCCCAGAAGCCAGAACAGCAAGAGGGAUCGCUGCUUUCACUGCGCAGCGAUCCCUCUUGCUGUUCUGGCUUCCGAGAUUCAGAGUAUUUUUUUUCUUGUUUUCCUCCUCCGAAAACUAGGUGCGUCUUGUGGUCUGGUGCGUCUUAUAGAGUGAAAAAUAUGGCAAUCUGUGAACAGGGACCCCAGGGCCUCUCUGAUAAACUCCCAUCAGCUUUAUCUUGUAUCCUGGGACAUUAACCGUUGUGAAAUUCAACAGAGAUCUCUGGCCAGUUUGCAGGCUUUGAACCCUCAUUUAUAUAGACUACUUUUAAAAAGCUGAGCUUCCAGUGCAUCUUCUACCACUAUGAACCAUGGAGAGCAACAGUCGACCCCACCCACCCAGAGUAGUGGCUUAGAAUUUGGCCGCUUCAUGCCUUACAAAGCAACUCUGUGCAAUGAGACAAUAGCGAUUCACCAAAUUGUAUUAAAGCUGUCCCUGUUGCCUCAACGCUCUUCCAAAAUCUUACCCAGAGUGGUUCCAAUCAACCCAAUCAGGUCCCUGUUAUUUAAUUCCCCUGGGGUUACAUGUUAAAAUAAAUUCUAAAUGCCAGGUUACUGAAAGAGACAGACACAAAGAAUUUCGUCCUCAAAACAUAAAUGUGCCAUCCGCUGGCAUGGUACCAUGGGCGCUAGGUUCAGGAAGUUGAGUAUCCAAAACAUUGCUUAACAUGUGGAAGUUCUCAGGUUGCUCUGAUCCUGGCUUAGGUUUGAAAAUUCUUGAAAUAGCAGAAAGUUAAACCAGUAAAGUGUUGUUUUUUUAAAUGGAAACAGUAAUCUUUACCACUUAAAUCCUGAGCGGUAGAAGUGGGGUAGCUCAUCCGCUGUGUUGUGUUUAAAUGUACAAUGUUUUUGUCAGGACUGAGGUUAGGGGAAACUGGUUCUUACCAGUUUGCGGUAGAAACCACCUCUACCUAACAGUGAUGAGAUUUGCCCUCGUGAGAUCACAAAUCCAUUCCCGUAGCACUUCUGCAUAUUAGAAACCUUCAUCUUUAAAUAGAAAAAAAUUACAUUGAUAUUGUGAUUCAAAACUUCACAUUUUUGUGUUAACUGUAAAAGUUGGUAUUCAGACCAUAUGGGAACAAAAACAUGUGCAUAUCAAAAAUAACUUCUUGCAGAUUCCCAACAUCUUUCAAUGCACAUUAUGCUGCAAGGUUAAUACAUGCUGCCUUAUCCCAUCAAUAUUUUUAAAUCUUCGCCUCCUGUGGGAUUAGUUUCCAAAUUAUUGAUUUUCAAAAAGUCAAAGAAUUACCAGUUAGUCAAAGGACAAAUAAAUUCCAAAGCUAUUUAUAUGAUCAAAGACUGGACUAAAUUCCACAGAAGGCACAUGGCGAAUUCUACAGUACUCCUUUCGUUUUCUAAAUUGCAUCUCUAAAACUGUGUCAGUAAACACUGGUUAAUAGGCUUAGCCGUGGAUAUCUCUUGGCUGUUUGCGGAUGUCACCAAUAUCAAUUUCACUGGCUAAGACUCGGUGACAAUUCAUCUGUUUACUAAGCUUUGGAGGGUGGGUAUUUUAUCAGACACCAGACAAAAUGGAAUGAGUCUAACAUCAUCAUCUUAAUCAUUAUUCUUGCAACAUUCAAUCAUUAUUCUUGCAACAUCCAACAAGGAGUUUGUUUUUCAUAUUACGAGAAGGGAUAAAAUUAGGAAUGAAGGACAGCAAUCGGAAGAACAAGACAUGUACGUAACCACUCCAGUCAGCC